GGUAACAUCAAAUCGUACCCCAAACCGACACAGGUGGUCAGGUAGAGAAUACCAAGGCGCUUGAGAGAACUCGGGUGAAGGAACUAGGCAAAAUGGUGCCGUAACUUCGGGAGAAGGCACGCUGAUAUGUAGGUGAAGUCCCUUGCGGAUGGAGCUGAAAUCAGUCGAAGAUACCAGCUGGCUGCAACUGUUUAUUAAAAACACAGCACUGUGCAAACACGAAAGUGGACGUAUACGGUGUGACGCCUGCCCGGUGCCGGAAGGUUAAUU
rnacentral:rRNA from 1 species